ACUUCUUGCCAUUGCUCUGGUUGAGCAAAUGCCUGCCCGAGAUGUCUUCUCCCCCUCCCCAUCCCCUGCUCAAACCACCUGGGCUCCAGGCCCUUCCUGGCAGAGGUGGCCUUCGAAAGAUCAGAAAUUUUGAGCAGGGGGCCAAGAGUGCCAUGGUGGCCACGUGGGCAUGCAGCUAAGGAUUCCUGCUCCUGCAAAGCCCUGGCUCCCAUCCCUCAGGCUCCCAGGUGGGCUCAUGGCGUGCAGCCCACAAGCCCUGGAGUGUAAGGCAGGCGAGAGAUCAUCCCAGGGCAGAGAUGCUGAGGAUCGUGGGGAAGGGGAUGCAAGAGGCGAGGGUGUAGCCCUCACCCGUGGCUUUGGAGCAGGGAACCCAGUCCACCUGGGUUUAUCUGAGUCCUUUCCCCUUCUCCUCUGCCUGCCUCUGAGGCCCGAGGACAUCAGAUGCAGCACACCUGAUUUCCCUGGGCUGUUGAGUGUCUUCUCCUGGCUCUCUAGGGAUGACCUCCGUGUCAGCAGAUGGGGUGCCCAGGUGAGUCAGAACCCCUGACCCAGCCCAGCCCCUCCUCCAGGCUUGAAGGGGGGUGGCGGUGGGGUAUAGGACUAAAACCCAGGCUUAAGACCCCAGGGACCUUCAGGUCCAUGAAGAGGUGGGAGUUUGGGCUCAUUCUGUGGAGGACGGAGGAGCUGUAGCUGGGUGGGGGAAAUCAAGGGCUAUGGUCCAAGGCCAGGAUGAGGCCUGCCAGGCAAGGUGCCAGCAGGUCCAUCCCUUCAUGUCAGGGAGCCCUCUGGCUCCAGAGACUCUCACUGAGUGACUCUGGGCAGGUCAUACAGAACAGGCUGAGGCCCAAGGAGGGAAUGGAAGUAAGAGGCUUCUGGAAUCAUCGAGUAUGGCAACGGAGGGCCAAAGAUGUUUUGUUUUGUUUUGUGGGUUUUGUUUGCUUUGGUUUUUUGAGACAGCCUCUCGCUUUGUCGCCCAGGCUGGAGUGCAGCGGCAUGAUUAUGGCUUACUGCAGCCUUUGCCCCUCAGGCUCAAGAAAUCCUUCCACCCAGUGUCCUGAGGAGCUGGGACUACAGACAUGCACCACCACACCCAGCAAUUUUUUUUUUUUUUCCUGUAGAGAUGGGGUUUCGCCAUGUUGCCCAGGCUGGUCUCGAACUCCUGAGUUCAAGUGAUCCACCCACCUCAGCCUCCCAAAAUGCUGAGAUUACAGGUGUGAGCCACCACGCCUGGCCCCAAACAUGUUUAAAUCAUAGGACCAUGUGCUCAUGGCUGACAACACAGAAGAGUCUAGAAGUAGGCCAGGGUUCCAAUCCUGGCUCUGCCACUUCCCAGGUGCCCACUGUGGCCCUCAGAGGAUGAGUGGGUUUGGGGGACAGAAUAAGAAGGUAGUCAAAGGCGAGAGCUGGGAGAAGAGGGUUUCAGAAGGGGGAUCAGUGAGGGCAGAGGCCCUGCAGAAGGAGCCCGGGCUGGGGAAGUGCGGGUGAGAGAGUGAAAGCUGCUGGAGAAUCCAGGACGAGGAGAAGAGGGAGGGGAGGGGUCACAGAGCAUCGUGUAGACUCUAUGCAGAGUGUAGACUCUAUGCUGGGGACAGUGGGAGGCUGUGGAGGAGGAGAGGCUGCCUCCACCUUCUCAAAAGAUCCCUCUGGCUGCUGUGUGGGGAAUGACUGUCGGGAUGGAGGCAGAGGCCUGGAGAGGAGGCACGGGAGGUGGUCUAGGGGAGAAGGGGGAGAAUCUGGGCUGUGUAGUGGUGGCCAGAUGGCUUCUGAAAUUGAGUACUGGGAUGGAUUAGCCAUCUCUGUCAUGGAAGUGGAAAAGGCGUUUGGUAGCACGAAUGUUCUGUGGAAGACAGAGCCCUUCUCUUUAUGGGCAUGCACAGCUGCCUGUCCUCCCAGUCUGUCUCCCACCCUGCUAGCGCUGGGCCUCCCCAGAGACGGGAAAGAGCUGGCAGAGCAGGGCUCCCUGUGGACUGUACUUGAGCCUGGAGGAGACUGGAGCCACAGUCAGAGCCAGCUGGGAACCCCUGGGCGCGGGAAAGGAGCUCUAGGUUUUUAGUCUGGAGCCCAGCCCGCUGCCACUGCUUGAUUUGUGGCCAUGGGCCUCAGUUUCUCCAUUUGUCAAAUGGGCUGGCAGUGCUCCCAGGGCUGAUGCAAAGCCUGGAUUCGAGGCCAGAAGGAAAGAUGUUUUGAGACAGAUGGGAGUGUGCAAGCCCAUUAAGCCCAAGACAGCCUGUGUGGGAACUCAUCACUGGGAGCCCAAGGCGGGCAUCCACCCUCCCUGCAGACCGUCCUUCCCACUUGCCCAUGUUUAUGUGUUUCCUUCCCAUCACCUGGGCCACCAUGACUCACCCCAGGCCUGGUGGGUGAGUGAGUAACUGGCUGGGGCUGGAGCCAGGCCCUUGGGCAAGACACUUCCCUUCCUGGGCCUCAGCUUUCCUAUCUGUAGAACGGCCAGACAAGUCCUGCUCUGCUCACCCCACUGGGGAAUCCGGGGUGAAUACAGGGCUGAGGAUGUGAAAGCAAGAGGCUGCAAUGGAGUGGGGACAAAGCAGGGUGUGGCCUUUCUGCAGGAACAGAAACCAGGCCCUCUCGACAUCAGUCCCAACUUGGCUCCCAGCAGAGUUUUAAAUGCUCAUUUGCCUAGGCUGACCAGCCCAGCAGAUCCCCAUUGCUCUGAGGGGGGACCCCAUGCCUGGGAGAGCUUGGAAUGGAGGGCAGGGUGGGGCCCAGGACCUUGGUGACCUCAUGGGAGAUGGGACUUCAAUGAUGAAAGGGAGGCUAAUCUAGGGGAAGAAGCCACAGAGGUGAAGCCCCACCCUAGACCCUGCAGGCUGAGGUGCCCUUAAGUGGGUAGAGGGUAGAAAAUGCUGGACUUGGCCCGGUGCAGUGGCUCACACCUGUAAUCACAGCAUUCUGGGAGGCUGAGGCGGGAGGAUCACUUGAGCCCAGGAGUUCGAGGCUGCUGUGAGCUGUGGCCAAACUACUGCACUCCAGCCUAGAUGACAGAGCAAGACCCUGUCUC